rfam:Stomoxys calcitrans breed 8C7A2A5H3J4 unplaced genomic scaffold Scaffold772, whole genome shotgun sequence.
CUAUCGCCUCUUUUAAGAGGCACCACGUACAAAGAUUAAAAAUAAA